CUACCCUCUUCGCGGCCGCCCGGGUCCUGAUUGGGCGCGGCCCGGGCUCCUCGGUGCUGACUGGCGCUGCCAAGGACUCGUCACCGCUCCUUCCCGCCCCUUCGCGCAGCGUGCCGGGCCCCUGGCUAGCAAGCUGGCUCUGCUGCAAGGUACCGAGACAGUCUCCGAGGAUCAGAGUCUUAGCACUCAUCUUCUCUCCGCGAACCCCACGUCGCUAGAGUGGGCCGUUGUGACAUCCUUAGAGCUCAGGACACUUUACAGAGAGUUACGUGGGCAGGUGGCCUGUCGCAGGCUGGAAAUGCGGAAGCCUCUUGGUAAAAGGGCAGCAGAAUGGAGUUACUUAGGGCAGAUGCCCCAGUUCGGCUAGUAGCUGUCCGACUCCCUUGACUCAAAGGUAACAGCGUGAGAAGGUGAACAAGUUUCCUGAAACCUACUUCGCACCACCCAUGAGCACCCUGGCUAAAUGACCUCGAAGGACAUUAUUAUUCUGUACCCAAAAAUGAAACUGUUGGAUGUCCAGUAGGAGAACCUUACACUAAAUUGUUUCCUUAAUUUUUUUACAGUUACAUUAAUACCUUAGGGACAAGAAAAAAAUAUUGAUACAAAAGGAGUUGUGCUCAUUCCAAGAUAAUGCAUUUAGGAAUUUUACUCUUACUGUAGCUAUUUGAGCAAUUGUAGGUGUUCUUAAUAAAAAGUGUUUCUCCAAAAAGAAAAAAAUUAAGCUUUACUGGACGCUGAAAUUUAGAUCUAUCCCGUCCAGACUGUCUGAUUUUACUCUGGGGAUUCCUAUUGAUAUUUCUUUUCCCUUGAAAGCAAGUAAGGAGAAGGGGUAUAUAACAAAAUAGUAUUUGAAGCUUUGUUGAGUCAGGCUUUUCUCAAUGAUGUGAGGAGGUAUGGGGAAAGAGGUUGAACUUUCCUACUGUCUUGCUUCCGUUGAUUAAAAGCUUAGCUCUUCUGCUGGUUUGGGGGUUUGGGGUUUUUUUUUUUUUUUUCUGUUUUUGUUUUGUUUAUCAAAAUGUAUUCUCAGGAACUCCAGCUGAGCCACUCUAAUCUAGCCAUUUUUCUCCAUCUCUAUUGCCUCUUUUCCUUCAGUACAUAAACACAAGUCCACCUUCAAAAAAGCUUUGGAAAAAAAAGACUUUUAACUCCUCUUUCCAGAUACCACCUUUCUCUUUCUUUUCAGAGCUAUGAUUUUGUUUAAGAGAAUGGCAUAAAUAAGCUUGCUGUCUCCAUUUCUGUGCCCACUUAUCAAUUCUUCCUCUUUAGAAUUUUAUAAAUCAGUUUGUUCUACACCAUUCUCUCUUCCACUUUUUUGUUUAGGUCCUAACAGUAUUCUAUAGCCUGACCUCCCUUCCAAUCUAUUAUCAACAAACUGUUUUUGCUUGUGUAUCUCCAGAACAAGUUGAAAAACUUUAUUCCCUUUGUAUAUUUUUAAGUUGACCCAAAAUUCUUCAUCAUGAGCUUGUCUUAUGUAAGUUAGCUUCUGCCUUUCAGACCCACCAAAACAUUGAGUAGGCCCAGCAAUAAUUCAUUAGUAAGACGGAAGUAGUACAUCCAGAAUUGGGUAUGAACAGGAUCAGAGGCACAAGUAAGCUAUACCAGCAGGUGGCCUAGACAUCCAUAUCAUCUACCAUUUUGGACCAAAGCCUCUCCAUCAGCCCAUACGUAUGGCUGCAUAGGAAGUGACAAAAGAGGAAAAAAAGCAAAACUUGAUUUGCAGACAGGUCAGAAUGGUAUGUGCGUACAAGCAGAAAAUGAACUGUGGCUGUACUGUAGCCCUACCCUGAGGUGAUCUUGAAAGACAGUGGCCAGGGAAAUUCUGCCAAUGAAUAAAUCCUCUCAGUGGUACACUUGGCCAUUCACUUUGUGUGGAAAGAAAUGUAACCAUAGUUAGAAUAUAUAUGGACUGGCAGUUGGCUUGGCUGGUUGAUUCGGGACCUGGCAGGAGAAAGAUUAGAAAGAUGAAGGAUGAGACGGUCUGGGAGACCCGUAUGUAUUUAGAUGGACUUUGUGAGUGGGCACGAAGUGUGCAGAUGCCCACCCGAGAGUAUCUACCAAGAAGGAGGCACUAAACAACCAAGUAGAAAGAAUGACUCACCAACUGAUGUCAGAUGCUAUCAGCCACUUCAGUACCAGCACAGUGGGCAUGUGAAUGGAGUAGCCAUAGUAGCAGGGAUGGGAGUAAUACAUGGACCCAAGAGCAUGGGUUCCCACUCAAAGGCUGAUGCCACUGCUGACUGUCUAGCCUUGCAGCAAUGAAUCCAAUGCUGAGCCCCCCAAAUGGCAGUAUUCCUCAAGGAGAGCAACCAGGUGCUUGACAACAUUGGAUACUUUCCACCCUGGAAAUGGCAUCAAUUUAUGUUGACUGGAAUGACUACAUUCUGGGUGUGGUUUGCCCCUUCUGUCUGUGGGGCCUCAGCCAGCACCAAUAUCUUCAGUGUUGAUUGAGUGUCUGACCCAUUGACAUAGGAUCCCACAUAAAAAUGCAUCAAACCAAAGGAUCCACUGCACAGCCUUGGAAGCAGGACAGUGGCACAUGACCAUGGGAUCCACUGG